rnacentral:tRNA from 1 species
GCCGGAGUGGUGAAAUUGGCAGACACGCACGGUUCAGAGCCGUGUCCUGGCAACAGGGUAAGGGUUCAAGUCCCUUCUCCGGCACCA